UACGGAGGGUGCAAGCGUUAUCCGGAUUUACUGGGUUUAAAGGGUGUGUAGGCGGGCUUGUAAGUCAGGGGUGAAAUCCUACAGCUUAACUGUAGAACUGCCUUUGAUACUAUAAGUCUUGAAUAUUGUUGAGGUAGGCGGAAUACAUCAUGUAGCGGUGAAAUGCUUAGAUAUGAUGUAGAACACCGAUUGCGAAGGCAGCUUACUAAGCAAAUAUUGACGCUGAGGCACGAAAGCGUGGGGAUCAAACAGG
rnacentral:rRNA from 1 species